rnacentral:rRNA from 1 species
GAUGAACGCUGGCGGCGUGCCUAAUACAUGCAAGUCGAGCGAACGGACGAGAAGCUUGCUUUUCUGAUGUUAGCGGCGGACGGGUGAGUAACACGUGGAUAACCUACCUAUAAGACUGGGAUAACUUCGGGAAACCGGAGCUAAUACCGGAUAAUAUUUUGAACCGCUUGGUUCAAAAGUGAAAGACGGUCUUGCUGUCACUUAUAGAUGGAUCCGCGCUGCAUUAGCUAGUUGGUAAGGUAACGGCUUACCAAGGCAACGAUGCAUAGCCGACCUGAGAGGGUGAUCGGCCACACUGGAACUGAGACACGGUCCAGACUCCUACGGGAGGCAGCAGUAGGGAAUCUUCCGCAAUGGGCGAAAGCCUGACGGAGCAACGCCGCGUGAGUGAUGAAGGUCUUCGGAUCGUAAAACUCUGUUAUUAGGGAAGAACAUAUGUGUAAGUAACUGUGCACAUUUUGACGGUACCUAAUCAGAAAGCCACGGCUAACUACGUG